rnacentral:sRNA from 1 species
UCCCACGUUACGUCUUCCGCUGCGCGGUC